rnacentral:siRNA from 1 species
UGGCUUGUUUCACUGUGGUCGA